rnacentral:sRNA from 1 species
UAGCUUAUUUGAUCACCCAAGCAAUUGGGUGAAGGCUGGCGGUUUUUUAACCGUCGGCCU